GUGCUGAUGAAGAGUCCCAAACUAGGACGAAACAGCUGUCCAGUAU
rnacentral:hammerhead_ribozyme from 1 species